GCCUCUUUCAAGGUCUCCGUGUGAGGGGUGGGGGGCAUCAAGCCCCUCCGAGCCCCGCUUCACGAUCGCCUUCCUUUAGAAAAGAAACUCAAUUGGCCAUUCAGUAAAUUCCCUUCCCCUAAAAGUCAAAAAACUAAACGGGACGAAUUAAACCUAAAACAAAAAGCUCUUCAAAGUUGUCUUUAUCCGAAUAGUCAGGGAUGGAAACGGACAACUGGUUGAAAAGCCUGUUCCAAAGAAGAGAUGAGAACUUUUGCGCACUCGCCACAAACAUCUACGGGCGCUCAUCCCUCCUCUGAGAACCGCACGCGUUCCGAAAUUCUCCUUCCCACCAAGAAUUCCCACUCCCAUCAUUGAGGACUAACGAGGCAAUGUGGUCUCCGACUGAGAGCGGUGGACUAGCCAGUGAGUAUCAACGCAUCCCUAAGGCGAAAUUCGCAGCCGCCCCAGCCGCGUAGCCCACCUGGCACCGCCCCCGCCGCAACGCCUCGUCACGUGGCGUGGCCUCCGCCCCGCCGUCCCGCCCACUACCACUGUGGCCGCACCCACCUUCUGUCGCCUCUCUGCUACCAGAGGAGCACUGGACGGGGAAUUUGCGAAUAGGAACCAAGUCCUCUGCGUCUAGACAGGGAUUAUUUUCUCUUCUGGAAUUCCGCCUGAUCCAUCCCAACGCACCAGCCGGCCAACCACGCGUGCGCAGCCUUGGUCUCCGCCCUCUUUUCCCGUCAGGCUCCGGACCUGAGCUGAGUAGAACUUCCCAGCAUUCCUCUUUCCUCAGUUAUGGUUCACUUCUUAAAGAGACCGAGGCUCAAUUGUGAAAAGGUGGAGAUGGCAUUAGAAGGCGCUAACUUCAAAUAACAACGUAGUUUCCAUCUGAUGACAUGGAACCUCAGUGUGAGUGACUCCGUUUUGAUUUUUAGUCUGGUUCAUUGAGACCUACUGCAGGAGCUUAGCCUGAAACAAUGGCCUACAAUUUUUAUUUAACAGUGAUACAUAUGCCCACAUUCCUGUUGGGUUCAUACCUAAAAGUGAAAUUGCUUGUUAUGUAUAUGUAAAAUUUAGGUAGAUAAUCUCAAGCAAUUUUAGAAAAUGGUGGUUUCAGUUUAUACUCCCUUCAGCCAUGUAUGAGAGUUUCAGUUUCCCAACAUCCUUGCCAAUAAUUACUACUGCAUAUCUUUUUAAUUAUAAUCAUUCUGAUGGGGGUAUAGUGGUAUCUCACUGUGGUUUUAAUUUGCAUUUCCCAGAUUAUUAAUGAGGCUGAGCCCAUUUUCUUGUUUCUUGGGUAUCUGGAUAUCCCCCAUAAGUGCCUGUUCAAGUCUCUUGCUCAUUUUUGUAUUGGAUUGACAUUUUCUUAUGGGCAUAUAUUUUAGAUAUGAAUCCUGCUAUGGUUUGAAUGUAUGUGUCCCUUCAAAAUUCAUAUAUUGGAACUUAAACAUUAAGGCGAUAGUAUAAAAAGUGGAGCCUUUGGGAGGGGUUAGGCUAUGAGGACUCCAUCCUCAUGAAUGGGAUUCAUGCCCUUACAAAAGAGGGCAUUCAUGCCCUUCACAAAGGUUCAUUCCUUUUGCCCUUUUAACCCCUCACUGUAUGAUAACAAUGUUCCUCCCAGCAGGAGGACAACAACAAAGUUUCAUCUUGGAAUUAGAGAGUAAUUCCAAGACAACAAAUCUGCCAGUGCCUUGAUCUUGGACUUGCCAACCUCCAGAACUGUGAGAAAUAAAUUUCUACCAUUUAUAAAUU